AGAGGUGCUGUACUGUGUUCUUGCAACGGUGGAGGUGCUCGGCUGGUAACGUUAAAGAAGGAAUAAGGCGCCUGACAGAAGGCGUUCGUCUUUGUUGUGGAGCAUCAGCGUUAAGGACAGCCGGCUGCUGUGGGAGCAAUUUCCUGCUGCAGAGAGCAUUUUAAGAAAGGACAGCAUUCCUGUGACCUCUGCCUACCAUCCAUAAAAUACUCAUUCCCCUCUCAGAGAUGAGGACUCACUAUGCUGUCCAGACUGGUCUCAAACUCCUGGCCUCAAGCCAUCCUCCCUGCUCAGUCUCCCAAAGUGCAGGCCUGAGCCACCAAGGGCAAACUUUGUUAAAAGGAAGUCUUACAUGGAGGAUUUAAACAAAACAGAUAAAAGCUGAGUGGAUUUGAUCAGAGUGGCUGGGGCUUGGAGCUUCACCCUAUGGCCUUUCCCAGAACCCUUCGUCCCCACAUGCUCCACAUCCUCAGCUCUGCAGACUCCAGCUUGAAAGCCUUCACCCUUGAAAAACAACCAAGAUGAAUGAGGAAGAGACAGUCAAAUAAAGUUAAAAACUGCAGGAGCAGCUGAAGACCAGCAGGAU
rnacentral:sRNA from 1 species